AACGACGCUGGCGGCAGGCUUAACACAUGCAAGUCGAACGGUUGUAGCAAUACAGCAGUGGCGCACGGGUGAGUAACGCGUGGAUAUCUGCCUCUUGGUUCGGAAUAACUCCGGGAAACUGGAGCUAAUACCGGAUGGUUCCUGCGGGAUAAAGAUUUAUCGCCAAAAGAUGAGUCCGCGUACGAUUAGCUAGUUGGUGAGGUAAUGGCUCACCAAGGCGACGAUCGUUAGCUGGUCUGAGAGGACGAUCAGCCACACUGGGACUGAGACACGGCCCAGACUCCUACGGGAGGCAGCAGUGGGGAAUAUUGGACAAUGGGGCAACCCUGAUCCAGCCAUGCCGCGUGAGUGAUGAAGG
rnacentral:rRNA from 1 species